UGCCAGCAGCCGCGGUAAUACGAAGGGUGCUAGCGUUGUUCGGAAUUACUGGGCGUAAAGAGCAUGUAGGCGGAUGAAUUAGUCAGAGGUGAAAGCCCCGAGCUCAACUUGGGAACUGCCUUUGAUACUGUUUAUCUAGAGUCCGAGAGAGGUUAGUGGAAUUCCCAGUGUAGAGGUGAAAUUCGUAGAUAUCAGGAGGAACACCGAUGGCGAAGGCAUCUCUCUGGGUCGAUAUUGACGCUGAGGCGCGAAAGCUAGGGGAGCAAACGGGAUUAGAUA
rnacentral:rRNA from 1 species